AGUGAACGCUGGCGGCGUGCCUAAUACAUGCAAGUCGAACGGAGAGGCGCACGGGUGAGUAAUAUAUAGCUAACUUGCCCCUUGCUGGAGGACAACAGUUAGAAAUGACUGCUAAUACUCCAUAGCAAGGGAUGAGACUAUAUCGUAUUAGCUAGUCGGUGGGUUAACGGCGUACCGAGGCUAUGACGCGUAACUUGUCUGAGAGGAUGAUCAGUCACAUUGGAGGUGAGACACGGUGCAAGCUCCUACGGGAGGGAGCAGUAGGGAGUAGUGCGCAAUGGGGGUAACCCUGAAGGAGCAACGGGUCGUGGAGGAUUACACUUUUCGGAGAGGAAACUCAUUUUGUUAGGGAAGCGUUACCUAACGAAUAAGCACCGGCUAACUCCGUGCCAGCAGCCGCGGUAAUAC
rnacentral:rRNA from 1 species